AUGAACGCUGGCGGCGUGCUUAACACAUGCAAGUCGAACGAUGAAGCCCAGCUUGCUGGGUGGAUUAGUGGCGAACGGGUGAGUAACACGUGAGUAACCUGCCCUUAACUCUGGGAUAAGCCUGGGAAACUGGGUCUAAUACCGGAUAGGAGCGUCCACCGCAUGGUGGGUGUUGGAAAGAUUUAUCGGUUUUGGAUGGACUCGCGGCCUAUCAGCUUGUUGGUGAGGUAAUGGCUCACCAAGGCGAGGACGGGUAGCCGGCCUGAGAGGGUGGCCGGCCACACGGGGAGAGAGAGACGGCAGGGGCUGCUGCGGGGGGCAGGGGGGGGGGGUGGUGGAAGACGGGCGCAAGCUUGAUUCAGCGACGCCGCGUGAGAGAUGAGGGCCGUCGGGUUCUAAGCGUCUUUCAGUGGGGAAGAAGCGGAAGGGACGGGACGUGCAGAAGAGGCACCGACUAACUACGG
rnacentral:rRNA from 1 species